UAGGCUACACAGUCAGUAUUUUUAUUUGAUUAUUAUUAGCUAUUCAUACAUGCCUACAGUUUAUUGCAUACAAUACAAAGACGGUUCAUCUCUUUAUCUAGAAACCCAAAUUCUUUACAAGCAGAUCUGACCAGAAUUCUAUACAACAGUUUUUAUUUAAAACACACAUAAUGUUACUUAUACAAAUCACAACGAUAGAGAUACAGAGUUAAAGUGACAUGGUUUGAGUUCAAUUGACUUUGGCUACAUCUCAUAUUCUUAUAUGCUAGUGCACUAAAUGGAGAAUAGGGUAUUAUUUGCGACUGAGCCUUAGAAUGUGUAUAUUUCCCAUGUCGGUAUCAAUAGUUCCGAUACAUUCUAGUUCAGAAUGUAAAUGAGAACGUUAUUGUCAUGGAACGUUUGAUGCUGAAAUGGAUUUAACAGAACUCUGUUCAUCUAUCCACCUCAUUGUCGAACGUUGCUAUGGGCACGGCCAAACAACGGAAGUGAAGGAUUCGACUUCUGCUUUACUUACCACUGCAACGCGCUGGUGGCAAUCUUGCCAGAGUAAAUUAUUGGAAAGAGACAAUUUAUAGAGUAUAACAGUCAAGUAUAAGUGUAAUUGAGUACGUGUAAUUGUAUAUGUAUUUCAUUCAAGUAGGCUAGUUCUGUUGUGAUAAUACUGUUAGUUGUGUUGUGUCAGAGUUUAGGCCCGGGCCAUCCACCCAAUAACUAUAACGAUAACUAUAAACUAUAGGCUGCACAAUUAUAAAACGUCGCUGAGCAUCCAUACUAGAGGAAAGUGUAUCGUUUAUCGUUCUACAGUCCUACACCUGUCAAUCAACUGAUCAAACCAAUCUACUGCACGCUUCCUAUCAAUAAGGUGGUAACACAAGACCAUUCAUGAGGUCUCUAACACACAGAAUCUGGUUCAGACCAUUCAUGAGGUCUCUAACACACAGAAUCUGGUUCAGACCAUUCCUGAGGUCUCUAACACACAGAAUCUGGUUCAGACCAUUCAUGAGGUCUCUAACACACAGAAUCUGGUUCAGACCAUUCAUGAGGUCUCUAACACACAGAUACCAGUUCAGACCAUUCAUGAGGUCUCUAAGACACAGAAUCUGGUUCAGACCAUUCAUGAGGUCUCUAACACACAGAAUCUGGUUCAGACCAUUCAUGAGGUCUCUAACACACAGAAUCUGGUUCAGACCAUUCAUGAGGUCUCUAACACACAGAAUCUGGUUCAGACCAUUCAUGAGGUCUCUAACACACAGAUACUGGUUCAGACCAUUCAUGAGGUCUCUAACACACAGAUACUGGUUCAGACCAUUCAUGAGGUCUCUAACACACAGAAUCUGGUUCAGACCAUUCGGUGCUUUCAGGGUGUGUUCAUUGUCAUAGUGACAACUGCAAAUUAUAAUAUGUGAAUCAAGGCCUAAUGAAAAGCAAUAUAGUACCUCAAAUUUAAAUGUAGCAAUUCAACAACAAACACUGUUUAGCCUGCACAUAUUUUACAGCAUGUAUUUGCCCUCUUGCUCAAGUGGGUUGCAAGUGAUUUUUUGAGGUCUUCUUUUUUACAGUUCUCAUCUCUGUAUGUCCUCUGAAACUAUUUGCAAUGUAUCAGUGCAACAAUAUUAUCAUAACCGGCCAAAAGUGAUCACACGAUUUCCUCAACUUUCCCCAACAUGCGUUUUCUAUGCUGUAGGCCUGUUUUACAUUCGGCAAUUAGCAAGAGCAAGCCUGCUUCUUUCCCAUCGAACAGACUAUUAGGCCUAGUAUAAAAAAGGAUCAAACUACAUGUGCUAUAGCUGUUGUAAGUAAGAAGGUAAAUAUUAGCUAGAUAUUAGGCCAUAAAAUUAUUAUACCUGAUAUUAUUGUUAUCAAGUGAGUACACAAUUAUUGUCUAUAUGCUGUAAACUGCAGUGAUGUAGGCUAAUUAGAAUAACCGCUCACACAUCCUGUUUUGUUUCAUACCGAAAUAACUGCAUACAGUAGCGUACCAGCCUAGGCCUGAGUAUGCAGCCAUUUGGAUCAGUCUGGGUCUAUUCUUGACAGUUUAGAAGGUCCAGAAAGGUACAUUAUUAGGUCACUCAUACGGUGUAGGCCUAUUUAGUCAGGAUGUAGUCCGCUGGUUAACAGGAUAGGACAAUACGGGCUCCUCCUUUCCAACUCCCUGCCCGUUCUUAACGCUGUAGCCUAUUUCACAUCCAGCAAGCAGGCCGCAAGCGUGCAUCUCUCCUCCAAUAGGAUAUUAGUAGGCUAAAGAAAAUAAGUCGAAAUACCUGUCAAAUAAGUUUUUGUAGACUGGCUUUUCCUUGGACUCCACAAUAUUUAAAAGGAAUAGCCGUGGCAGCGGAGAGGAUAAGUGCGUAAUUGCUCAUCAGAGCAAUGAAGACAGACAGACAGGCUGGGGAUGUACUGUGACCUACAGCCUAAGUUAGAAGCUUAUGCAUAUCAGACCAUAAUUCAUGAGCUCAAUGUUAGGCAUAAUACUGCAGUCAAUUUAUCCAGUCAAUUUACACAGUGAAAGAAAAAGUGCUUUUCAGAUAGUGAAAUCAUAGUUAGCGCUCCCGAUUCUGCGCUGAGUGCGGUCCCUCCAAGUCCGUGGGUACAUUGUUUUUUAGGGACAAGAAAUGUACCCUACCUAGGCUACAACAACACAAUGCAAUGAAGUAUGUUAUUAUUGUUUUCAAGUGCGUAGAAAACUCUAGUCUGGGCCAUAAACUGCAGUGAAUACCCUAUGUCAUUUGAAUAACCGCUCAAAAGCCUGGCUUUUAAAAUACAUAUUAAUUUGGAAAUAAAUGAAACUAACAUGCCUGACUGGACAACCAUUUGGAUCUGUUAUGUUUUUGUUAUGAGCAGUUCAGCCUACAAGGUCCAGGCACAUCAGCAGGACAAUAACACACGGUGUAUUUUGUCAUGAUUUCUCCGCUAACAGAAACAUGCUAAUGCAGGAGUUCCUAGUGGCGCGCAUAUGAAUUAUGAUAAUGCGCAAGCGCGGAGAAACAUGUAUCCAUAGUUUCCGCGUUUGGCGUCAUAUUUUAAAAGCGUUCGAAAAUGAGGUGGAUAACUCCCUAUACAAACAUUUAGAUAAUCAAUUUCACAUUCACAGCUGUUCUUCUACUGUACACUGAAGUUUCUCUUAGAUACAGAUCUAGGAUCAGCUUACCCAUCCUCCAAUCGUAACCUUAACUAUUAGCGGGAAAACUUAACUUAACUUAACUAGCGGGAAAACCACAAAACUGCUCUUAGAUCAUUGUCUAGGAUUCAACUUCAUCCCCAAGUCGAGCUGUAUGUAUACUUAGUUUAGAUGUGCUAUUUAAUGGUGCAGUGUCCCUUUUUAUUUGCUAUCCGUGGCACAUUGAAACAACGCAAAAGAAAGUAUUUUCAGUGUCUGUCUUUCUCCAUGCCUUUCUUCGUUAGUUUAAAACCCAUACUUUAAAAAAAAUGUUAGGACUAUAUCCUCUGCAAGUGUGGUCUCAAUAUCAUUUUUCCCUGGGGGCCAUAUUACUUAAAUCGGCUCAGGGGCCACUUUUGGAUCAUGGGCCUGUAGUUUAAGACCCCUGAUCUACAAGCACUGAGCAGAUACAGUAAGCAUUGUGAAUAACGUUAGAUGGAGGAACUUAGGCAUCUGUGCAGAUGUACAAAGCUACUUCAUAUAGUACACCACAAGCAGAGGCUUCAGUACAGAAUAAAACUUGUCUAAUAUUGUGAUUGAUGACUACAUUUCCCACAAUUCAUCUUGCGCUGAAAACUUGCCCUUGAAAAUAAGUCAACCCACUACAUCAUACUCAAAUCUCACUGACCCUCAUACAGAGUAGCUGUUGCUUAUGUAAAACUAUGUCGUGUUUCAUUUGAUAUGUUUAUAUUUAUAUAUAUAUAUAGUGUUUUUUAUUAUUCUCUUAAGACAUACAUUUUAAAACUUGAGGUGGUGAAACUGUAAAGUUGGGUUUUCUUUGGUUACCAGGUUGUUUUUCUUGUUGUUGUUUACAAGUGGAGAAAAGGUGGGAUCCUACACCUUUGUUGUGUGUGUGCGUGUGUUUGUGUGCGAUCCUACGCAGUUUCACACGUGGCAUUUCAGGGACGCAUCAUCCCACCGCCUCCCCAACACCCCCGCGCUCUGUGGUAAGAAUCUACCGGAAUGGCGUCUGUUUGUGUUCUAGAUUUAGCAUUGUCCAGGGCAACCAGCUGAACCUUCCCAUAAUUGGAGUUGGUUGCUAUGGGUAUAUAUUUCCAUCUUUUUAGUCACAGUGUGCAUCCCAAACGGCACCCUAUCCUCUAUAUAGUGCACUACUUUAGACCAGAGCUCUAUGGGCCCAGGUCAAAAGUAGUGCACUACGUAGUGAACAGGGUGCCAUGUUGGACGUGGCCUGUAACUUUUCUCAGAUGUACUCCUGUCUAGGUUAUGUAUGAGCCACGUUAAAUAAAUAAUUGAGGGAAUAACUUAAUAAAAACGUGACACCCACCUUGACACAAGCUGACUUGUGCUCCUCAUCCUCAACCAACCCCAUUUAGUUUACCCCAGCAAGGUCAUAGCCAUGUCUUGUAGUGUUGUACUGCUCACUGCUAAGUACUGUAAUACUGAAGCAUAACAUUAAUGAUUGAUUGGUUGAUUGAUUGAGUGGCUAACUAAGUGAUUGGGGGGGAGGGAGGGGGGGGGGGGUGUAUUCUAUAGCCUCAUUCCUCUCCCCCUUCAGUAUCCAUAGAUCUGACCGAAGCUAAAACAUCAUCAUACUGCCUAUCCACCUACCAAGUCAUUUCAGAUCUGUGAAUACAGGAAGAAAGAUAGAAAACAUUUGAGACACAAUUCUGUUGAGUGAUAUUGAGUCAGAAUUUUGGGGGGUGCUAAAAUCACUCCAUACACUCCCAUCCUUCCAGACCAAACUAGACUCCGUUUCCUCAAAAGCCUUAUCCCUUGACCCAUGACCCCUCUCAGUCGGACCACUCCCCGUUGUCCUCCCCGCCGGAGUCAGACUCUGAUUCGCUGUACUCGACGGCGAUGCGACGUGAGAGAAUGGUGGCCACGUCGUUUCCUACGGGCUCUCUCUUCGCUUCCUGCUCUCUCUGCUCCUGUACCUUCCUCAAUUGGAUACC
rnacentral:lncRNA from 1 species